GCACUUACUUGAACGAAGUCAAUGGGUAAUCAAUAAGGCUAGUGGCUUAGGUUGGUAACUUCCAUUGCAAUUUGGAGGGGUGUCCGCCUAAAGGCGAUCCAAGUUGUUGAACUUAUGACAUAAUUUGUGACAGUGCAAUCCUUCAUUGGCGUGGCCCUACC